rnacentral:tRNA from 1 species
AACUCCUGGUCAAGAUGGGUCUCGGGAACGAGCAGGGUCGAGGACUCAUAAUCCUCCGGUCGUGGGUUCGAGCCCCACCCGCCCCA